CGGCGCACGGGUGCGCACCGCGUAUGGAACCUGCCUUGUACAGGGGAAUAGCCCAGGGAAACUUGGAUUAAUGCCCCGUAGUACCGUAUUUCGGCAUCGUUAUACGGUUAAAGCCUUCGGGCGGUACAAGAUGGCCAUGCGUCCCAUUAGCUUGUUGGUAAGGUAACGGCUUACCAAGGCUACGAUGGGUAGGGGCCCUGAGAGGGGGAUCCCCCACACUGGUACUGAGACACGGACCAGACUCCUACGGGAGGCAGCAGUGAGGAAUAUUGGACAAUGGAGGAGACUCUGAUCCAGCCAUGCCGCGUGCAGGAAGAAUGCCCUAUGGGUAGUAAACUGCUUUUAAACGGGAAGAAAAAGAGCUACGUGUAGCUUACUGACGGUACCGUAAGAAUAAGGACCGGCUAACUCCGUGCCAGCAGCCGCGGUAAUACGGAGGGUCCGAGCGUUAUCCGGAAUUAUUGGGUUUAAAGGGUCCGUAGGCGGGCCGAUAAGUCAGGGGUGAAAGUCUGCCGCUCAACGGUAGAACUGCCUUUGAUACUGUCGGUCUUGAGUUAUAGUGAAGUUGCCGGAAUAUGUAGUGUAGCGGUGAAAUGCAUAGAUAUUACAUAGAACACCGAUUGCGAAGGCAGGUGACUAACUAUAUACUGACGCUGAUGGACGA
rnacentral:rRNA from 1 species